rnacentral:rRNA from 1 species
AUUGAACGCUGGCGGCAUGCUUUACACAUGCAAGUCGAACGGUAACAGGCCGCAAGGUGCUGACGAGUGGCGAACGGGUGAGUAAUGCAUCGGAACGUGCCCAGUCGUGGGGGAUAACUGCUCGAAAGAGCAGCUAAUACCGCAUACGAUCUAUGGAUGAAAGCGGGGACCGUAAGGCCUCGCGCGAUUGGAGGGGCCGAUGUCAGAUUAGGUAGUUGGUGGGGUAAAGGCUCACCAAGCCAACGAUCUGUAGCUGGUCUGAGAGGACGACCAGCCACACUGGGACUGAGACACGGCCCAGACUCCUACGGGAGGCAGCAGUGGGGAAUUUUGGACAAUGGGGGCAACCCUGAUCCAGCAAUGCCGCGUGCAGGAAGAAGGCCUUCGGGUUGUAAACUGCUUUUGUACGGAACGAAACGGUCUGGGUUAAUACCCUGGGCUAAUGACGGUACCGUAAGAAUAAGCACCGGCUAACUACGUGCCAGCCGCCGCCGUAAGAC